rnacentral:rRNA from 1 species
UACAGAGGUGGCAAGCGUUGUUCGGAAUUACUGGGCGUAAAGGCGCGUAGGCGGUUCGAUAAGUCCCGUGUGAAAUCCCUCGGCUCAACUGAGGAACUGCACGGAAACUGACGGGCUUGAGUUCGGGAGAGGGAAGCGGAAUUCCGGGUCGUAGCGGUGAAAUGCGUAGAUAUCCGGAGGAACACCGGUGGCGAAGGCGGCUUCCUGGAC